UUUGUUCCUUAAAUAGGGACUUGUAUGAAUGGCCACACGAGGGCUUUACUGUCUCUUACUUCCAAUCCGUGAAAUUGACCUUCCCGUGAAGAGGCGGGAAUAUGACAAUAAGACGAGAAGACCCUAUGGAGCUUUAAUUAACCGACCCAAAGAGAUCUUGAUAAUCAACCGACAGGGAUAACAUACCUCUGCCAUGGGCCGACAAUUUAGGUUGGGGUGACCUCGGAGAAUAAAACAACCUCCGAGUGAUUUAAAUCUAGACUAACUAGUCGAAAGUACUACAUCACUUAUUGAUCCAAAAACUUGAUCAACGGAACAAGUUACCCUAGGGAUAACAGCGCAAUCCUAUUUUAGAGUCCAUAUCGACAAUAGGG
rnacentral:rRNA from 1 species